rnacentral:tRNA from 1 species
GAGCCUGUAGCUCAGCCUGGUUAGAGCACCACUCUGAUAAGGUGGGGGUCCACAGUUCAAAUCUGUGCAGGCUCA